CAAAAGCCUCCUUCAAUCACUGAGGAAAACCGCAGAAUAAUAAUUGAGAAUGCGGCGUGGCCAACGCUUUGAUGGCAGCCUGUGAGACCCUGAGUGGAGGACCCAGAAAAACUGUGCCUGGAUUCCUGAUCCACAAAAACCAUUGUUAGGACAUCAUCAGCAAGGCCAAGUACUUGUGGAAGGAAGGGGAUUCGGCACACCGUUGUGGCUGGAGGAGCUCCUGAAACUAUCAGAGCUGUGGAGGACCCUGUGGGUCACAAGCCGGUCAAAAUCCACGGGAAAGU